rnacentral:lncRNA from 1 species
CGCUUAUCGUCGUUUGCCGAAAGUGCCGUUUUGAAGACGAAGUGUCUUAUAGGGAACCUCGUGUAUAAUAAACAAUGGGAAGAGAGAAUAUGUUCGAACAUUACACUAAGGAGAGGGUGUACAACCAGAAGCCGUACAACCAGAAGCCGAAGGCGGAACCGUAUCAGAAACGUUGUUCGGCUUGUAUGAUUUGGGCUAGUCGGAAGGGUAUUACCAAGGACUUUUGGUGUAAGCAUAUGAAAC